GCUUUUAUACCAAUCAUCUAGUAGUUGCAGAAAUAUUGAGACUCGUGAUUUUUAAAAUUAUAAAUAUAUUGUAACUCAUUGUCUUUUACAAUGAAGAUGACACAUUGAGAGUUUAUAAAGCGAUCAUGGAGCUCAGAAUUUUUCGUAUUUGUUUGAAUCCCAGAGGAGCAAUUUAUAAACACUAUAUAUUUAUUCUCAGAACAGUUGACUGUUUUGUCAUUUGAAUUACACAUUUAAAAAAAAAAAAAAAGAAUGAUACAUUGGGUAUUCAGUUGGCUUUCUGAGACUUAAUGAGGCUAAUGAUUAAUUUUUUUUUUUUUUUAAUAAUCAACAUUCAUGAAGAUUUUGUACUACCUCUUGGAACACAUAUAAAAUUUUGUAUGUGUUCCCUUAUUGCAUGACAAUAUUCAAGACAACUUUGUAAAUAAUAGUCAAAUACAAAAUUUUAUCAUCUAGUAUUUCUAGAUGUAUAGAGUGUCACAGGGUAUAAUUUUGUAAAUAAAUCAGUAUCAGCUUUCAUCCUUUUUAAAAUUUUUUGAGUGUGAUUUUUUAAAAUUUAUCUUGUUUGUUACUUGUUAAUAAAUAGCAUAGAAGAAUGAGAAAAAGUAUUUUAAGUUCAACACUGGCUACGCAUCUCCUGGAAAAAUUUCAUUAACCUUAGUGUAAGGCUUAUUGGACAUACAAGACUGUUUAUAAUGGCAUACAUUAUAGUCAUGUGGUUGUAGUAAUAAAAGGUCAUUAUCUAAACAUUUCUAUUUAGGCAUUAUAGGAAAUAUGUCUUGGAUGAGUUCCAUCUACAUUUGUGAUUGAGUUACUACAGUAUUAUAUUUACGGUACAUGACAGAAUUCAAGACAUACUGUAAAUAUAUACAUAUAUUUAUGCCAAUUUGAAAUAUCUUUUUUUACAGAUGCAUUCUUAACAGAAUAUAAGCCUGUAAAUAUUUCAUUGUGACCUAACAUUAAUUAAAUUAUACCAGUAAAUUCUUUUACGAUUGAAUAGAUAAAUACUAUUAAAAUAUCAAGUAUAAAACUGUUUUUAUGUGUUUUUAUAUCUUUAAGCAAUUUUAAAAUUUUGUAUAUUUUCAUCUAGUAUUAUUAAAAAUAAGUACCUAGUGUACUGUACGAAAAAACAGCCUGUAUCACAUUAAAAGCAAUCAAGAGAAAUUAAAAUCAGAGUUAGGAUUGAUAAGUAACAUUUAUCCUAGCACCUUUCAAGAUUAUACACAGCUCCACACUCAGUUUGUGGACAGCCUGGGCUCACUAGGCCUUGUGUCAAAAGAAAGUGUGAAAACAAAGAAAAGCUGAACACAUCCCUUCAACACAAGAGGAAUUUAAGAUAGUCAAAUACCAGAUCUACGAAAUGAACAUAAGGAUUGCAGCUUAAGUAAUAAUUGAAGAUUUGUGCAAGUUAAUUAAACUAUACAUGCUUGGAAAUUGCCACAUGGGACCAUCUUGAUGAACAGUUUAUGUAAACAGAAAACAUGUUCAGGAAGAAUGUUAAAAUUUUAACACUUGUAAAUAGAAAGAAGAUGCCAUUUGCCUGUCUUUGUACUUUAUGAGGGUAUUUGCAAAUAAGCAUAAAAACAAGAAGAAGAUAUUAAAGAGACAUUUUGUGCCAGGACAUCAUGGUAGUGCUGGACUGCCUAUCCAACUCUGUAUAAAGGUUUUUCAAACAAUUUGUGAGGAGUGUUCGUAUCUCCAGAGUCUUCUGCUUCAGCAGAGAGUAGUGCAUUAACUAAUGGAAAAGAGAAGAUAAAAGUUCUGGUGCUCAUGAUGACUAGUCCGAACCUGCAAACUGCUGAGAAAAUUUACAUUCCUGAAAACUAGAGGUGGUUGCCGAAUUGAAUAGCCGUUGGUUCUACAGCCACUAUAAUGAUCUGAAAAGUUGAAUAUUUUUCAUGAACACUUUCAGGAAUCAUAAUAGAACUCAACUAAUUAGAUAGAGACUGGAAUGUUGAUUUGAAGACAAUUACUUUUAUAAAGAUUUUCUCAUUGCUGCUUUUGCAUUAACCCAAGAAGUGGAGAUAUUACUACAUGGAGAAGAACUGUAUGAUUGAAUUGACUUUGGAAUCGUCUCAGUGUUGUCAUAAAAUAUUCACUGUAUGUAGUCAAUUUUUUCCUCAGAGUUGAUGAUUACAAAUACUUGUCAAGUUGGAAAAAUUCACUUUUACUUUUAUUUGCAUCACACUUACUAGAUUAGAGACUAGAUUGCUUUAAAUUGAGUCUUCAUUUACAACCUCAAGGAAUUUUCCAGUACCUGUAAUUUCUUCACUCUUUUCUCUGCCUUAAAUUCAAUUAGACAGCUGGUUUUUAAGAGCGACUUGAGUAUUCUGGGAUUACAGUCAAAUAUUAGAACACCAGGUUUAUUUGGUUCUGGCAUUCAAAUUCAGAGAUUCCCUCAGGCUGGAUAACUUCUAUAUCAACUGAACUACUAUAUCUCUAGCUAAAGUACAUUCUGGGCAUCAAUGUGGUUUUUCUCUGAUCCAGGAGUAGUGUGGCCCAACUCUACUCCUAUCUACUUAAGAGACAACACAGGAGGCCUGCACAUUUGAGGUCACCUUGACAACACUGAAACAUCUUCUUCCCAUCUCAACAAUAAAAGGUGGUGAACAUCUUCAGAUACACAUCAAAUAUGCCUUUCUGAAAGUUUCAUCUACAGCAUCUCCCAAAUACCAUUAUAUAUUUAUUGUUUCUGGAGUAUUAGUUUACCUUUAUUAUCUCACAAAUUGUAUAGAAGAUUUCCAAGGAAUAGAAAUGACCUGCUCUUGGCAAGUAAUUGCCUAAAAUGUUUAAUACUUCUGUUUUCAGUAUAUUUUGGACUCUCAUAUUGUUUGUUGCUUAUUAUCUUUUAUUCAUAUUUUAAUUUGCAAAUGGGAGAAACUUUUCUAAGUGGGUUGCAUAGCUAAUGUAUAUAAACAUUUUUAUGAUACUUCAGAUUAUAGCAACAUUUCUUGACUAAUUGAAUCUCCCUCUAUACCAGUUUUGUUAUCAUUUGUGAGAUAUCCUCUUCCUCCUUUGAAUAAGAAACUCAGAUUUUAGGCAGGCCCUAAAGAAGAUUGGCACAGUGGUGUUCUUUAGAGAAGAUGCUCUGGUGCUAUUUUUGCUGAUACUAAGGUCUCUGUCUAGGGCAGCAAUAUGCGUCUCUAUGGUUUGCUUUUUCUCCAAUAUGACUACUGGAGACUUUGAUGCCCUUGUAACUGAGUGGGUUGAGAAAUGUCCUUGCAAUAAUAAGGAGAGACAUAGUGAUGCUAUAUUGUAGAUGUGUGGCAUCAUAUUUUUUUGAUAUCACUUUUCAGGUGUGAGUAAAAUCUCAAUGUUUCAAAGUGAUUUUUAGUUUUCUGUAUAAUGUGGGUUUUUUAUGUUAAUCUCCUUAAACUAAGUAAUGUGAAGUAGUGAUUGUUUUCAAUAUUAGUUGUGUGUUUCUAGACAAUAAGUCACCAGUUCAUUUGAAAACGACUGUCUGCCUUUCUCAAUCGGUUUUAAUAAUUGUAAGAGUGAAAAUAAUUGGUAAGAAUUUUAAAGUGUUUGGAUAUAUAUGUCUGCAUGUGUGUAUGUGUGUGUCAGGUGUCUGUAGAAGUCAGAAAUGAAAUUCAAGAUUAUAUAAUAAUCAUAUUUUGAAUGCUUGAAUUGUUUCCUUACACAUUACUUAAAAGGUGUCAGUAAGAAAGCUCAAUGGAAAAAGCCAACUGGGAAUUCCAGUUGGAUCACUGGAACCCAGGUUAUGUGUAAGACAGAAUAUAGCUGAGAACAGGACACUUCACAGAUUAUUUUUAGUCUCAUAAAUUUGUAGUACAAUCCAUAUCUCCUUACUCAUUAUAUUAUUAUUACAUUUUAGCGAUAUCCUGAGGUGCAUCCUGGAUUCUUUUUAUAAUGCUCAUUUAUUUUAUAUGCACUGUUGUUUUUCUGUUUUAAUUGCAAGGUUAAAUUAGUGUAUUUCAAUUAGUCUCUCAUGUUUACAUUUUCUGAGGUCAGAUUGCUUAUGACUAAUCAGACACCACUACAACUUGUCAGUUUGUGUUAAGGGCCACAAAACUUUGUAAAACUCUAGAUUUACAGACCAUAUUUUUGAAACUAGGAAUCUGUUCUUGUAGUACAAAAACAAUUAAGGCUAAUCAUUAAACUAUGCCCCCAUAAAUAGUUGCAAUACACAAAUCUUGGGUUAUAUUUAUAUUUUAGCAGAUAGUUGUCUAACCUGUAGUCAGUUGUAUAGGUCUAGUUUCAUCCAGACAGACUUUGGUAGAUUUAGGAUUAGAAGGUACAGAAAGAGUAUCUUUUCUUGUACAAGUUUCUGAAUGCUCUACAUGAGUGAUUCUCAACCUAUAGGUCCCAACCCCUUUGUGGGUUGAAUAUACCUUUGACUGGGGUCACUUAAGACCAUUGUAAAGCACAGAUAUUUUACAUUAUAAUUCAUAACAGUAGCACAAUCAUAGUUAUGAAGUAGCAUUAAAAAUAAUUUGAUGGUGGGAGGUCCCUAUUAUGUGAAGAGAUGUAUUAAAGGACUGUCAUAUUAACUAUUUUAAAAUUAGAUGUUUUAGUUCAAUAUAAUAUCAACAUGUAUUGUGAUUAAAUAAUUCUUUGGUCAUUAAUUGCUAAUCUGCUAUUCCAGUUCCAUAGCAGCUUAUAAUAAGGGAUAAACGUUCAUGGUGUAUAUACUAGUCAGUAACUUUCUUAUGUUUAUAUAAAUGUACAUGGAGAUUUUAGAUGUAAGAUCUUUGUAUUAAUGAUUUUUCCAUUUAAUCUAUCAUAGUGGUUUAUGGAGUUUACAAAAAUAUGUUUGCUGAUGCUUGUGAUGAUGUUGAUGAUGUGUAUAAUUAUAUAACUAUGAUAAUAUUUUUGAGUUCCUGCUUAUAUAAUAGUUUUCCAAGUAUGGUAAUAUUAAAUCAUCAUCUGUAUAUGUCUUUGGUUUCUGUCAAUAUUGUGAAGUUACCUGCAUAUGUUUUGUGGGUUAAGCCAGAGCAGUGGUGUUAUAUAGUGCUAAUUUUCAUAGUUUUGUUUUUACUAAGUUUCAAUAGCUUUGUAAAUAACAGCCAAUCUAAUAGGUGAAAUAAUAUUUUUAAAGCCUAAAUUAAGACUAAGUUAAAUGCUUAAUGGCCAUGAUUUUAUAAAACUAAAUAGAUUUUUAGUUGUAGAAGCAACAUAAAGUUUCCAAAUUUUGCUAAGUUUACAUAGUGAUACAGCAAAGGUUGCAUAGUGAUACCUUGUCUCAAUGUUUGCAUUUUUCAUAAAUUGCUUAAUUAUACACUAUGGUAACAAGUUUUUCUUUAUAUUUAAUUUUGAUGUAAUUAUAGAACCACAUGCUUCUUAUAUAAUCUGACUUAUGCUCUGCAUUCAUUUCACUUAUUAUUUCCAUUACUCUUUCCCUCCCUAUUCUUCUCAUCUUAUUUCUGUUUAUACAUGUCACAGAACUUUGUUUUCAUUUAAGAUAUGCAGUUCACACUGGCCAAAAUUUUUCUGUGAUUAUUUUAUAACCAUAUAAGUGUGCUUAUGUUCCUUUAAUCUUGGAUUAAAAUGUAAGAAAUGUUGAUUGUCUUGUUAAACUAUAAUAUUAACUAUAUUAUAAUAUAUUACAAUGUAAUAAUUAUAUUAUAUUAUAUAGUUAUCCUCUAGAUUCCUGUUUCUUUUCUAAUGAAAGAAAGAAAGAAAGGGGUGGUUACAUUUAAGAAAAGGAGUGGUGAUGAAACAUAAUUAGAGGGAGAAGAAAUAUAAUUAUCAUAUAUUUUGUGAGAAAAUAUCUAUAAAAGAAAGCAGAAUAAAAUUUAAGAAUAUCAGAUGCAUUAUGACUAGUUUAAGAGUAUGCCGUAUGCAUUGCUCAUAUUUACAUUUCAUUAGUUGGUUUAGUUGUGUUUUAUUCUGUGGGAUAAAACAGAAUUUGCAAAAGCCAUGUCGCUUUCAUAUUGUUUAAUCUGAAUCAAUUCUGUAGACUAUUUUGGUUAUUCAUAGCAUUGAAUUUCUUGAAAAUACCACCAUUUAGAUUUCAAGAGCCCUCAGCUUCUGAUUUUUUCCUUGUAAAAGGAUGGAGGACAUAUAUUUGUCAUAGAAAAACUUCAGAAUAAAUGUGUGUUACCUUCAAUAAAUCAUGUCAAGUUUAAAUGCUUAUUGUCCCAAAAUAGAUGAUCAUUAGUGUAAUUCAAUGUGACAACUUUCUCUAAUGUUGAAGUUCUUUCUAAAUAAACAUUACAUACAAUG
rnacentral:lncRNA from 1 species